UCAUCGAAGAAAAUGUGUUGCAACCUUUUAACUCACGACUGUACGCACAAGACAGGCGAUAACUUGUUUAAAAAAUUUAUUAUUUGUCUCUGUACAUAUGGUAUCUGUUAGUUUGUCAAAUAUUUUUAUACUUCUGUUAAAAAGAUUUCCAUGAAAUUCCAUUAAAAUUCUUUCUCCAUGAUAACAGCUGUUAUUAACCGAAAUGAAGGUGGCCAUAAUGCUUUUUGGGACAUAUUUCUGAUUGGUCUAAGAGUGGCCAUUAUUUGGACGACUGCGCAUCCACGGGAAUGUUUUACCUUGUAUUCUUACACGGUUGUCUGAUUAGAGUGCUGACCGGCCGUAAACACGGUUUUACGUAGUCCGUUUGGGACGAAUGUAAUUGGACGUGUUAAUGCAGAAAUUGAUCAGUUGCAGAUGCUGAUUAGGAGAGUUACAAAUCCUGUUUUGAAAAAUUAUUCUACAAAUGAUGACCAAGAACGCAAUCAGAUACGUCAUUCAUGAGAUAAAACUCAUUGGAGGAUCCAGGCAAAUACCAGAGCCACACUUUGUUUUUUUGUGUCAGAUAAACUGACUAUUCUUGGUCCGAAAGACACUUAAAUUUAAAGAAACCUUAAUUUCUCAACUUAUUGUUGGUGAGUUAAUAAGUAUUUUAUUUUU
rnacentral:lncRNA from 13 species